AAAAUUAACAAUUGAUUCAGGUGAAAACAUCUGAAGCAAUGACAGAAGACAACGACAACCUAUGCGUUCAUUGACAUUGGCCUUAUAAGCCAGCAAGCUAUGUGACCAACUAGAAAAGAUGUAAGCACACAAGGGCACACUCACAUGGAGGUACUGGCCGAUGGGAAUAUUCAUUUACUGCUAUACUUUCAUUUAUACAUUUGACAAGCGUAUAGUACAGAGUGACUUCACGAAAAAUAUUACUAGAAAUUUGAUAUCAGUAUUAGUAAGAAUACCUACUUUAGUCCAUGAUUUGUUGCUCAAGGUUCC
rnacentral:misc_RNA from 1 species